ensembl:lncRNA
UCCCACCACACCCCAAGCUGGGUGUCCCUGUGAGUGCAGCACAAACCCUCCCAGCAUCCAUUUUGAGCCUUUUGCAAGGGAGCAGGAAUUGGGAACAAGAGGCCACAGGGUGGGCCCCCACCAGCCUCAGAACAUGGGAUGCUCAGGGCCAGGAGAUGCCCAGAGAUGGUGGAUGCCCAGGGAUGGGGGAUGCCCAGGGAUGGAGAAUUCCCUGGGCCACGGGAUUCCCCCAUUUGGUGGAAGCCACAAGGGGUUGCAGACAAGCCAGGUCAGCCGUAUUUAUUGAGAACGGUUGUGGAGGGAUAAAAAUAUUUCCACUACUCUAUAAGAAUUUAUAAACCUAUACUCUCUGAUCCGUUAAUAAACGCCUCUAGGACCGUCAUGCCAGGGGAGGGGCUUCUGUAAGAAAAUAGCGAGAUUAAAAAAAGGAAAGCGCAAAAUGUUCCCUGCAGGGCCCUGCCCGGGGGGCCCUGCCCACGGGGACACGGUGGGCACAGGCCGGGUGCUGCCCUGGCACCCUGCAGCCACAGCCCCAGCCCCAGCCGGGCACAGCCCCGCCAGCCAUGCUCUGCCCAGGGCCCCGGCAAGGGAACCUGAUGGGGACAGGAGACAUCCCCAGGGCAGCGAGCUCUGCAGAUCCCACUGAUCCCACUGAUACUGCUGAUCCCACUGCUGCCAUUGCUGCCACUGCUCCCACUGAUCCCACUGACCCUACUGCUGCCACUGAUCCCACUGCUCCACUGAUCCCAGUGCUCCCACUGCUGCCACUGAUCCCACUGCUGCCAUUGAUACCGCUGAUCCCACUGCUCCCACUGCUCCCACUGCUCCACUGCUCCACUGAUCCCACUGCUCCCACUGCUCCCACUGCUCCCACUGAUCCCACUGCUCCCACUGAUCCCACUGCUCCACUGAUCCCACUGAUCCCACUGCUCCACUGAUCCCACUGCUCCACUGAUCCCACUCAUCCCACUCAUCCCAGAGCCCCCAGUCCUGCUGCAUCCUCCCCAUCCCCUGCAGGCUCUCCCAGACCCGGAGGGAUUUGGAUCCAUCUCCCUGGGGAUGCUGGAGGGGUGGCCAGGGCUCACCCUGGGGACACACAGUGGGGCUUUGCAGGAAGCAACACAGCUGGGGACAUCCUUGGGGACACAGGGACAGUGCACAGAGCCCUGCAGGGUGGUGACAUAGCUGGGGACAUCCCAGGGGGACACAGAGAUGCAACAUAGCUCUGUGGGAAAGCAACACAGAUGGGGACAGUCUGGGGAGGGGGGAACAAGCUGCAGUGCUCUGUAGGGCAGCAACACCAACCAGGACACGGUGGGGGACAUGGGGACACCAUGGGGGAUAUGGGGACACCAUGGGGGACAUGGGGACACGGGGACACGCAGCAGCACUUCGCUGGGAAGCAGCACACAUGGGGAUAUCCUUGGAGAAUACACAGGGCUGCUGUGCCAAGAAGCAGCAGGGACAGGGACAUCCUGGGCACACAGGACACCACAGACAAGCAAGUGGCAGCAGGGGCUGAAAUUCCAGCCAGGGCCGGUGCUGUUGCCAUGGGGUGAGAGGUGCCAGGGGCACAGGACACUCAUUAUUGCUUUACAGGGCCAACAUCACGGCGGGCUGGGGGUGCCCAGCCUCUGAUUUGGGGUUCAAGGGAUUUUCCCUGGGGACACCAAUUCCCCAGUGCUCCUCAUGCCACAGCUCUGCUGUCACUUUGUGGGGACAGGGUGAGGACACAGAGCUGGACACAGUCCCCCUGCACUGGUGUUGGCAGGGAGCAGGAUGGUGGCUGUCCCUUGGCUGUCCCUCCAUCCCCUCUGUCCCCUGUGGUCCCCAGGAGCUGCUGUCCCUCCACGCCAGCCAAGGCCAGGGGAACAGCCCUGUCCCCCUCAGCAGCUGGGGCAUUGGGGGGCUGGAACCAGUGCCCCCUUUUUCUCUUCC